CCUACGGGAGGCAGCAGUGAGGAAUAUUGGUCAAUGGACGAGAGUCUGAACCAGCCAAGUAGCGUGAAGGAUGACUGCCCUAUGGGUUGUAAACUUCUUUUAUAUGGGAAUAAAAUGUUCCACGUGUGGGAUUUUGUAUGUACCAUAUGAAUAAGGAUCGGCUAACUCCGUGCCAGCAGCCGCGGUACGACGGAGGAUCCGAGCGUUAUCCGGAUUGAUUGGGUUUAAAGGGAGCGUAGGUGGAUUGUUAAGUCAGUUGUGAAAGUUUGCGGCUCAACCGUAAAAUUGCAGUUGAAACUGGCAGUCUUGAGUACAGUAGAGGUGGGCGGAAUUCGUGGUGUAGCGGUGAAAUGCUUAGAUAUCACGAAGAACUCCGAUUGCGAAGGCAGCUCACUGGACUGCAACUGACACUGAGGCUCGAAAGUGUGGGUAUCAAACAGGAUUAGAUACCCUGGUAGUC
rnacentral:rRNA from 1 species